rnacentral:lncRNA from 1 species
GGGCCCCGUUCUCUGUCCUGCCUGGCCGCGGGGGUCACACGGGGCCACCGCAGGGCAAGCCUUGGUGUUCCCAGCCUGCUCUACCCAGCCUGGCACAGCAGCGGGGGCACCUUGGGAAAGCCCUGGGACGUGGGAGCCUCCGUGGUCCCCUGGGGAACAUGGGGACAUUUCCACAUCCUGGUCAGCGUCAUGGCAAGCGUAGGAGCAUCGUGCCUCGGAGGGCAGCGUGGCCACUCCUCCCGCCCCGAGGGACAUGGCAGCUCUCCGUGGGCUCCUCCCGUCCCUAUGCUUUGGUGACUCCGCUGCAGGGCAUCCUGGGUUAGUGACGCUGACCGUGAAGGUGGCCGAGUCCACUGCAAUGGUUACCUCAGCUCUCUGCCCUCCACGCCCCAGCUGCAGGGGGACAGGGGCUGCUACCACUCAGGCUGCAAAGAAGAUGGCAGCUGCCCAGCAGCUGACCGAAGCCCCACGGAUAGGCAGCAGGCUCGGGGCAGCUCCUGGGGCAGCACCCUGGCACCAGGUCCUCACCCCUAAGGGUCCCAGAUCCCAGGAGCAGAGGCCCUGGGACAUCACAGCCUGCGAGUCCUCCCUGGACACGCGUCUGCCUGGCCCAGGGCGUUCUCUGCUCAGUGUUGGGGGCCGGGGGCUCCCGGGGCUCCUGGGGGGUCUGCUUCCCGCUCACCUGGCCGUGGGCAGGACCUGGGCCUGGCCAUGGAGCCGGCUGGCCGCUCUCCCCAGGGUUCCCGAGCUGAGGCCCAGACCCCAGGACCUCAGAAUGCGACCGCAUGGAGACAGGGUCUUUGAAGGGGUGACUAAGCUACCAGGGGCCCCCGGGGUGGCCCUGACGCAGCCUGAUUGGUGUCCACGUGAGGACAUUGGGCAAGCUGGAACCCAGCCAGGCAGGGAGAAGUCAGAGGCCGCAGCCCUGCCACACCCUGCCCUUGGACGUCAGCCCAGAGCCAGGUGGGAGAAGCGGCUGCGGUGGUCCUGCAGUCCGUCUGUGCCCCGGGCCUCCCAGCACGGCUCCUCACUUCUCCAAGGCCAGCAGAGGACUCUUCCCAUGGGACAGACACAGAGUCGC